AGUCUAAUACUGGACAUUGUGGAGUUUUCUUUGCAAGAUGGAAUUCAGCAUGCUUAGAAAUUAGAAAUUCAGUUAGUGCUUUUUAUUGUUUUUAUUGUAACCCUCUUAUGAUAUUCUUGACUAAUUCUUCAAAAAUAUGUUUUAUAGGGUACAUAUGCAAUAGUUUAUAAAGAAAAAAAAAUGACAGAGAAUUUGGUGGAAAUUCUCUUUGGAACACAAAGAAGACACACCCAGUACAUCUAAAAGAGAAGUUUCACUCUUAAAGGAUUUAAAACAUGCAAACAUAGUAAACUUACAAGACAUCAUUUACACAGAUAAAUCUUUGACUCUGGUCCUUGAGUAUCUGAUGUUCUGAUACCAAAUUCUACAUGGAUUAACUUAUUGCCACAGAAGAAUGGUGUCACAUUGAGACUUGAAACCACAGAACCUUCUCAAUAAUAAAAAAGGGAAGUCUGAUCCUGGGCCAACAUGUUGAA